GACGAGGACGAGGCGUGCCGGUAUUCCGAUUCGGUGGCGUAAAGCGCGCGUAGGCGGUUUGGUAAGUCGGAUGUGAAAACCAGAGGCUCAACCUCUGGCCUGCAUCCGAUACUGCCCGACUAGAGGUAGGUAGGGGAGAUCGGAAUUCCUGGUGUAGCGGUGAAAUGCGCAGAUAUCAGGAGGAACACCGGUGGCGAAGGCGGCUAUCUGGACAGUAACCGACGCUGAGGCGCGAAAGCUAGGGGAGCAAACAGG
rnacentral:rRNA from 1 species